AUUGAACGCUAGCGGGAUGCUUACACAUGCAAGUCGAACGAGAGGCGGACGGGUGAGUAAUAUAUCGGAAAGUGCCUAGUAGCGGGGGAUAACUCAUGGAAACGGUGCUAUACCGCAUACUAUUAGAGCGGCCGAUAUUGGAUUAGCUAGUUGGUGGGGUAAAGGCUCACCAAGGCAACGAUCCGUAGCUGGUUUGAGAGGAUGACCAGCCACACUUGAACGGAGACACGGCCCAGACUCCUACGGGAGGCAGCAGUGGGGAAUAUUGGACAAUGGGCGAAACCCUGAUCCAGCCAUCCCGCGUGUAUGAUGAAGGCUUCGGGUUGUAAAGCACUUUUAGCAGAGAAGCGUUAUCUGCAGAAUAAGCACCGGCUAACUACGUGCCAGCCGCCGCGGUAAUUC
rnacentral:rRNA from 1 species